UACGUAGGGGGCGAGCGUUGUCCGGAAUCAUUGGGCGUAAAGAGCGUGUAGGCGGCUUGGCAAGUCUGACGUGAAAGCCCGCGGCUCAACCGCGGAUUGUCGUUGGAAACUGCCUCGCUAGAGUCCGGAAGAGGAGAGCGGAAUUCCUGGUGUAGCGGUGGAAUGCGCAGAUAUCAGGAAGAACACCCGUGGCGAAGGCGGCUCUCUGGGCCUUACCUGACGCUGAGGAGCGAAAGCGUGGGGAGCGAACAGG
rnacentral:rRNA from 1 species